rnacentral:snRNA from 1 species
UUUUGAAUGGCAGCCCAAUAUUAAAAUUGGAGCAAUACAGAGAAGACUACUGUCACCCUGCACAAGCAUGACACACAGAUUUGUGAAGUGUUUCAUAUUUUU